rnacentral:rRNA from 2 species
AGCGUACACGGUGGAUGCCCUGGCAGUCAGAGGCGAUGAAGGACGUGCUAAUCUGCGAUAAGCGUCGGUAAGGUGAUAUGAACCGUUAUAACCGGCGAUUUCCGAAUGGGGAAACCCAGUGUGUUUCGACACACUAUCAUUAACUGAAUCCAUAGGUUAAUGAGGCGAACCGGGGGAACUGAAACAUCUAAGUACCCCGAGGAAAAGAAAUCAACCGAGAUUCCCCCAGUAGCGGCGAGCGAACGGGGAGCAGCCCAGAGCCUGAAUCAGUGUGUGUGUUAGUGGAAGCGUCUGGAAAGGCGCGCGAUACAGGGUGACAGCCCCGUACACAAAAAUGCACAUACUGUGAGCUCGAUGAGUAGGGCGGGACACGUGGUAUCCUGUCUGAAUAUGGGGGGACCAUCCUCCAAGGCUAAAUACUCCUGACUGACCGAUAGUGAACCAGUACCGUGAGGGAAAGGCGAAAAGAACCCCGGCGAGGGGAGUGAAAAAGAACCUGAAACCGUGUACGUACAAGCAGUGGGAGCCUCUUAAUGGGGUGACUGCGUACCUUUUGUAUAAUGGGUCAGCGACUUAUAUUCUGUAGCAAGGUUAACCGAAUAGGGGAGCCGAAGGGAAACCGAGUCUUAACUGGGCGUUAAGUUGCAGGGUAUAGACCCGAAACCCGGUGAUCUAGCCAUGGGCAGGUUGAAGGUUGGGUAACACUAACUGGAGGACCGAACCGACUAAUGUUGAAAAAUUAGCGGAUGACUUGUGGCUGGGGGUGAAAGGCCAAUCAAACCGGGAGAUAGCUGGUUCUCCCCGAAAGCUAUUUAGGUAGCGCCUCGUGAAUUCAUCUCCGGGGGUAGAGCACUGUUUCGGCAAGGGGGUCAUCCCGACUUACCAACCCGAUGCAAACUGCGAAUACCGGAGAAUGUUAUCACGGGAGACACACGGCGGGUGCUAACGUCCGUCGUGAAGAGGGAAACAACCCAGACCGCCAGCUAAGGUCCCAAAGUCAUGGUUAAGUGGGAAACGAUGUGGGAAGGCCCAGACAGCCAGGAUGUUGGCUUAGAAGCAGCCAUCAUUUAAAGAAAGCGUAAUAGCUCACUGGUCGAGUCGGCCUGCGCGGAAGAUGUAACGGGGCUAAACCAUGCACCGAAGCUGCGGCAGCGACACUAUGUGUUGUUGGGUAGGGGAGCGUUCUGUAAGCCUGCGAAGGUGUACUGUGAGGUAUGCUGGAGGUAUCAGAAGUGCGAAUGCUGACAUAAGUAACGAUAAAGCGGGUGAAAAGCCCGCUCGCCGGAAGACCAAGGGUUCCUGUCCAACGUUAAUCGGGGCAGGGUGAGUCGACCCCUAAGGCGAGGCCGAAAGGCGUAGUCGAUGGGAAACAGGUUAAUAUUCCUGUACUUGGUGUUACUGCGAAGGGGGGACGGAGAAGGCUAUGUUGGCCGGGCGACGGUUGUCCCGGUUUAAGCGUGUAGGCUGGUUUUCCAGGCAAAUCCGGAAAAUCAAGGCUGAGGCGUGAUGACGAGGCACUACGGUGCUGAAGCAACAAAUGCCCUGCUUCCAGGAAAAGCCUCUAAGCAUCAGGUAACAUCAAAUCGUACCCCAAACCGACACAGGUGGUCAGGUAGAGAAUACCAAGGCGCUUGAGAGAACUCGGGUGAAGGAACUAGGCAAAAUGGUGCCGUAACUUCGGGAGAAGGCACGCUGAUAUGUAGGUGAAGUCCCUUGCGGAUGGAGCUGAAAUCAGUCGAAGAUACCAGCUGGCUGCAACUGUUUAUUAAAAACACAGCACUGUGCAAACACGAAAGUGGACGUAUACGGUGUGACGCCUGCCCGGUGCCGGAAGGUUAAUUGAUGGGGUUAGCGGUAACGCGAAGCUCUUGAUCGAAGCCCCGGUAAACGGCGGCCGUAACUAUAACGGUCCUAAGGUAGCGAAAUUCCUUGUCGGGUAAGUUCCGACCUGCACGAAUGGCGUAAUGAUGGCCAGGCUGUCUCCACCCGAGACUCAGUGAAAUUGAACUCGCUGUGAAGAUGCAGUGUACCCGCGGCAAGACGGAAAGACCCCGUGAACCUUUACUAUAGCUUGACACUGAACAUUGAGCCUUGAUGUGUAGGAUAGGUGGGAGGCUUUGAAGUGUGGACGCCAGUCUGCAUGGAGCCGGCCUUGAAAUACCACCCUUUAAUGUUUGAUGUUCUAACGUUGGCCCCUGAUCGGGGUUGCGGACAGUGUCUGGUGGGUAGUUUGACUGGGGCGGUCUCCUCCUAAAGAGUAACGGAGGAGCACGAAGGUUGGCUAAUCCUGGUCGGACAUCAGGAGGUUAGUGCAAUGGCAUAAGCCAGCUUGACUGCGAGCGUGACGGCGCGAGCAGGUGCGAAAGCAGGUCAUAGUGAUCCGGUGGUUCUGAAUGGAAGGGCCAUCGCUCAACGGAUAAAAGGUACUCCGGGGAUAACAGGCUGAUACCGCCCAAGAGUUCAUAUCGACGGCGGUGUUUGGCACCUCGAUGUCGGCUCAUCACAUCCUGGGGCUGAAGUAGGUCCCAAGGGUAUGGCUGUUCGCCAUUUAAAGUGGUACGCGAGCUGGGUUUAGAACGUCGUGAGACAGUUCGGUCCCUAUCUGCCGUGGGCGCUGGAGAACUGAGGGGGGCUGCUCCUAGUACGAGAGGACCGGAGUGGACGCAUCACUGGUGUUCGGGUUGUCAUGCCAAUGGCACUGCCCGGUAGCUAAAUGCGGAAGAGAUAAGUGCUGAAAGCAUCUAAGCACGAAACUUGCCCCGAGAUGAGUUCUCCCUGACUCCUUGA